rnacentral:sRNA from 1 species
GAUAGGCGAUUUUGAGCGAGGGCUUGCACUACGUCAGCAUCUGGAGUCUUGAUGUCGGGGGGAAGGGAACAUGCUGAUUCUGUUUUCAGCCCAUAAUAUUGUUAAACAAGCACUUAGUAAAUGAGACGGGAUAUAUUUCACUGGUUUAUACACUGAGGUAGAAAAGGAUUCUCCUGAAGAGCCAGUUCUGACAUCUUGCUGGGAGAGGAGCGAUCGGUGGUAAGAUCUUCACUCAGGAUGACUGCCCUGCGAUCCCCGCUCAUGGGUUACCCCACUGAAGUAAACUCAUAGAAAAAAGUAAGAAUCUCAACGACCCGUGAAGAACAGAGGCGAUGAUUCCUGAGAAGUCGUGAGCACAGUUUCCAGGAAAGCACUAGAAAUGCACAUGGCUGCUUUGGUUACCCUCCGUGUCAAAUCCUGUCUUCCCCAUGGGGUUUGGAUCCCCUCCAAAACCACUGUGCGUCAUGCGGUGACCUCUGUGAACCCCUACGCUGAAGUACUAGUCUCUAUGACUGGUUUUCUUUGGAAACAAGGCUGAUGUAAGCAACUGGUUGGGAUGAAGUCACAUGGUUUAGGUAAGCCCUGACACAGACUGGCGCACAAUGUGGACUUAAGAUGGGGAGUGUGGAGCUGUGAGCUGAGAACGCUGGAAACUAUCUGAAGUGGCUUGUAUGUCACAUAUUCACCUUGAGUCUGACCUGCGACCUGGGAGUGGCUGCUGUUUACUCCAUUCAGCUUGUGGUACCUUGUGGGUAAUAAGUCGGGAAAUGGAUGUCCCUUGUCCCCGAUCCCAAAGUGUAAAUGCCCUUCCACACCUUCUCUUCCACCUUGAUUUGCUUCCUGAAUUUCACUCUUUAUCCAGUUUUCCAAUUUCAGUUUCCCCUUUCCUCACUUAUCUCUCCUCUCUCUGUCUCUCUCACACCAAACAUCAAUAUCCCUUUUCUGCCUAGGCUAAGUAGAGUUGGGUCUUUAGAUUGGCUGAAGAUCACAGUUGUUUUGCAUUCCGUUUUGAUAGCUCACCCUGUUGCUUGUGCUAAUUUAGAAAUUCCUGCACAGCCCUGGCUUUGAACUCAGCAUCCUUCUUCCCUAUGCUUCCCAAGGGUUUCCCAAUUGUAGCCAUAAGCUACCUCAUACCCAGCUCUUUCAGUAAUUCCAACAAGAGUUUAAUGCUAUAUUAGAAUGUUGGUUUCCAUUUUUUUUUCUAAAACCACAAUUCCAUUACUGACAACCAGUGUCUUCACUGUAGCGUUAUUUGAUGUAGGGCCAUUCUGAACCUAGAAGGCUGUAGCCGGUAGACCUGUGCCCCACGCUCAGUUUGUUGGGUGCUUGCGUUGUAUUUAGCACACACGUGAAAUUCUAACUAGGGCUUCAUAAACUGUGAGUGCUUUAUAAACCAAACUAGAAGAGUGGCAGUUGGCAAAGACUACCAGGAGAAAUCAACUGACUUACACGGGGAGCAGGAUUCCAGCUCUGGGGAGCUGUGAGCAUUUGUAUCAGUGGGACAAAAUGAAAGUGUGGUAUUAUGGAUGUCAGAUUUUAACUGUGAUUUAGAAAUGUGAUCAAUGCCUAGAUGUGCUAUUAAAUAUCUAUUAUGGGUUCUUAACUGUGGUUGAAUGACUUCCAAAAAAGAUAUAAUUCCUGGUCUCAGGGGAUACGUGGCGUAUAUACGUGAGAGAUAACUUAGAAUGAGCAUCAGCCUGACAGUGCCAAACAAAUGGAACAGAAAGUAAGAACAAAGGAACAAAAGGAGAAAAAAGGAGACCACUGCCACCCAGCUGGGCUUGCUGGAAAAGGAGAG